CUCCAGAACCUUUCCUUUUAACAAUUCUCCGCAGAAACCCUAAUGGACGCCACCAUCAUCUCUCUCACCCCUCUUCUGAGAAACCCUAAUGGACGAAUCCAUCAUCCCUGAAACCCUAAUGGACGAAUCCAUACAUGAAAUUCACGGGUACGAAUCCAUCAUCUCUUUCAUUGUUUUGUUUCAUCUUCCUCUUUUCAACUUACAGCAGGUUCGUUUCACAUCCAAUUUCCAAAGGUUCGUUUCGAUUUAGGGUUGGCCGAUUGUCACCGGGUUACAUUGCCUGAUGGGACUGUGAAGGAGCGGAAGAAGUGGGAAACAACUCCGGUCGAUAUAGCGAAGGAGUUAUCGAAGAGUUUGGCUUCAAAUGCUUUGAUUUCUCAGGUGGAUGGUGUGUUGUGGGACAUGUCGAUGUCUUUGGAAGGUGAUUGUCAGCUCAAUAUUUUCACUUUUGAUAUCAAUGAGGGUUGUGAUACGUUUCGUCGUUUUGGCAUUCGAGUGCUCAAAUUCUCGGGCAUGUGAAUUUAGGGGCUCCUUCAUCAUUGCUCUCCUUCUUCUGUCCUCUUUUGUCUUUUUUCAAGGAUCAAUGCAACAGGCUUUAUGGUUAUAGUGGAAACAGAGGAACAAUUAGAAGUGUCCUUUUCAAGACCAUGGGAUCCUUCCCUUAAGGGAAAACUUGCUCAAAAUCCUUCUCUUCGCGUGCUUUAGUUAUUCUUUCUCAAUAUCUUAUUCUUUGUAUGCAGAUGGAAAUGAUUUAUCAACUGCUAUCGGCAAGAAAGAUGUAGAUUGGAGAGAAAGAUGGCUUUUCAACACAUUCUCUUUUCUAAAAAAGGGUUAUUGAUGUCAUCGAGGCAAACACAGAUGAUUUAGUACCUUUGAGUCUUGAUUCAUCUUGAAAAAAACCUCUUAGCUUCUUGAAAAUUUACCGAGCAAAAACAUGUGAUCAAUAAUAAUUCCAGUCACGCUGAGAACUGAUGCGCCUGAAAAUUAGCGAGGACGAAAUGAGAGAUAAAAGGUGUGAAACUCGAGCGACUGAUUUUGUGAAAAACGAUAACAAUGUCAUCAUAAAGCUUGAAAAUGCGGCCAUCGAAUGAUCAAAGUCAGUUGACUCUGCUGUUCUUGGAAAGUACAUUAUAUUGGAGAAAAGAGAAUGAUAAUGAGAACAUUGACACAGCUAUAUGAUUGGUCCGGGAUCAAAUGAUUAUGGCUAGGGUUUAUAUGAGCAUUGCAACAAUGAAUAACAAACAAGACACAAUUAGCAUAUGAACUGCAAAGUCAACCUAAAGAAAGUCAACGUACUUUGGGAGAGGCUACUGCAAAUGCUGAUCUUAAUCACA